AUUGAACGCUGGCGGCAUGCUUUACACAUGCAAGUCGAACGGCAGCGCGGGCUUUGGCCUGGCGGCGAGUGGCGAACGGGUGAGUAAUACAUCGGAACGUGCCCAGCAGUGGGGGAUAGCUCGGCGAAAGCCGGAUUAAUACCGCAUACGACCUGAGGGUGAAAGCGGGGGAUCUUCGGACCUCGCGCUAUUGGAGCGGCCGAUGGCAGAGUAGCUAGUUGGUGGGGUAAAGGCCUACCAAGGCGACGAUCUGUAGCUGGUCUGAGAGGACGACCAGCCACACUGGAACUGAGACACGGCCCAGACUCCUACGGGAGGCAGCAGUGGGGAAUUUUGGACAAUGGGCGAAAGCCUGAUCCAGCAAUGCCGCGUGUGUGAUGAAGGCCUUCGGGUUGUAAAGCACUUUUGGCGGGAACGAAAAGGACUGUGCCAAUACCACGGUUCGAUGACGGUACCCGCAGAAUAAGCACCGGCUAACUACGUG
rnacentral:rRNA from 1 species